ACAAAAACAAACAGAGAGAAAUACAGAAAGAGGACGGUCGAGGUCCCAGAAGUAGAACGCGCCCCACGCGCGAGAGGAAAAAAGAAAAACAGAAGGAGAGUUUUCUCCCCCGGCCGUACGCCGGUGGAUCCCCCGCCGCUGCGUUAUGGUCCGGGAGGGGAGUUUGGUCCUGAGUAGUGUUAGGGGUCCAUGGCAGCGGCGUGGCUCUGGGUUGGUGGUUGGAUUGUCGGUUCCGGGCAUCAGCGGUUCGUUCUCGAUCUGCUUUUCUGGUUCAUGGAUGUUUUGCGGCGAUGGUGCAGCGACGGAUCUUGGGGUCCCGGCGAUGAUCUCUUUCGCCACCGUCCCUGCGUGUUGGUUUGUGGCUGCCCUGUUCUAGAUGAGGCGGUGUCGAUCCCGGAUGGGAUCUAUCCGAUCUCGUUUUUGGAUCUGUGGGGUUAUGAUCCUUGUGCUGGGGUGGUUUUUGUGGUGUGUCAGGGCGGGGCUGCGGCGAAGGGGUUUGGCGUGGAGCUGUUUUGACGCGCGACGAUGGCCUGGUGGCGUUGGCGGUUGCUGGCGGUCGUCGGAUCUGCAGAAACUAAUUCAUGACUUGGUUUCCAUGACGAUUAUCAUAUUAUCUAAAGAAACUAAUUCAUAUGGUUGUUUCAAAUAUAGAAUGUUUGACACAAGAUCAGUUACUACAUUCGCUGAACAAAAGUUCUCCAGAGAUGGUAUUCAAGUAAAAACAGGUCCCUAGGUUGUAAAAGUAGCUGAUCCAUUCUAAAAGCCGAUCUCCGAUACUGUUUGCAUGAACAAAGAUGUAGUUAAGGAAUUUGACCCUUAUUUUAUUCCCCAAUGUCUUUGCAGGUUGAUAAGGUGAGCAAUCCUGACAGCAUCCGAAUAGAAGCAGAAAAGAGAUGAUGUUGUAUUGUUGUUUGCAUAUCAGCUCUGAGUGGCCAGGGCUUAAAUGAUUGCUGCAGUGCAAUCCAAGCAAAAUUGAAGCAGGACGCUAAUGGUACCGGUGGAAGCCUUGAUCCUAUUUGAAAAAGGAGAGCUUCACGAAGCACAUUAUGAAAUUGUUUUACAUUGGAUCGUCCAAGGUGUCAUCGACAAAAAAAAAAAUAGAACCAUGACUCUAUUAACAAGCAGCUGUUCAAAUUAACCCCUACCAAAAUCCAAUGAGUGUGAUUGUGGAAUCCUUGAAGCCCUGAAGGUGGUUAGCUUGCAAGAAUUUGCCUCAAUUUUGGAGCCUAACCUCUGCAGAAUAGUAUGUCCAGAACUACAAGGAAAAGGAGAAGUUGGAGCAUAGGUUCUGAAGUGCACAGUUGGAAAAGGAGGAUGAGAGGCAGAGCUUUCAGCAACAUUUUUUGGGGAUUUACAGAUAGAAAACGGACACAUAUCUUGAGGAAGAUGGAGGAAGAUCCCUGCAAAGCUUUUCUUGAAGUAGAGGAAGAAAAGUACCUUGUAUUAUCUUGUAAACUCUUGUAUAAGAGCUUCAUUGCUUUUGUAACAUUCAUGAGAAAAAUCAAAAUUUAACAUUCCCUUUUCAA